rnacentral:rRNA from 1 species
GCCCUAUCAACUUUCGAUGGUAAGGUAUUGGCUUACCAUGGUUUCAACGGGUAACGGGAGAUUAGGGUUUGACUCCGGAGAGGGGGCCUGAGAAACGGCCACCACAUCCAAGGAAGGCAGCAGGCGCGCAAAUUACCCAAUCCCGACACGGGGAGGUAGUGACAAUAAAUACUGAUACAGGGCUCUUUCGGGUCUUGUAAUUGGAAUGAGUACAAUUUAAACCCCUUAACGAGGAACAAUUGGAGGGCAAGUCUGGUGCCAGCAGCCGCGGUAAUUCCAGCUCCAAUAGCGUAUAUUAAAGUUGUUGCAGUUAAAAAGCUCGUAGUUGAACCUUGGGCCUGGCUGGCCGGUCCGCCUCACCGCGUGCACUGGUUCGGCCGGGCCUUUCCUUCUGGAGAGCCGCAUGCCCUUCACUGGGUGUGCCGGGGAACCAGGACUUUUACUUUGAAAAAAUUAGAGUGUUCAAAGCAGGCCUUUGCUCGAAUACGUUAGCAUGGAAUAAUAGAAUAGGACGUGCGGUUCUAUUUUGUUGGUUUCUAGGACCGCCGUAAUGAUUAAUAGGGAUAGUCGGGGGCAUCAGUAUUCAAUUGUCAGAGGUGAAAUUCUUGGAUUUAUUGAAGACUAACUACUGCGAAAGCAUUUGCCAAGGAUGUUUUCAUUAAUCAGUGAACGAAAGUUAGGGGAUCGAAGACGAUCAGAUACCGUCGUAGUCUUAACCGUAAACUAUGCCGACUAGGGAUCGGGCGAUGUUACUAUUUUGACUCGCUCGGCACCUUACGAGAAAUCAAAG